AAAAAAUUCAUGCUAGUUAGUUGUCUGAUUCUUUUAUAUCCACAGUAUUUCAAUUAAGCAUACUUAAUUUUUUUCAUAAAGGCUAAAAUUUUUGACAGAAGAACCUAGAAGUUAAGAAUUCUUCAUACUGGUUUUAUUUAACAACAAAUCACCUUGACUCAAGGAUACUUACUGAGUGCCUUUCAUGAGAAGUACCUUUCAUAUGGUCCAGGGUGUUGAAUCUGAAUUAACUUAUCUUGUCCAUCAGGAAAAGUUAACUUACACCAACCUAAGUUGAGACCCCGAUUUACCUUAGCAAGGAGGAAAGGUGCCACGAACUGAUUAAUUAAUUAGGAGAAUUAAAAAAACAUGAGCCAAAGAAUCAAUCUACAGAUCACCUUCUAUCUACUCUCAGAAAUCUUUAUUACUCCAAUGAUAAUAAAGUAUGAAAAUUUAAA